AGAGAAUAGAUACCCCGGUAGUCCACGCCGUAAACGAUGGAUACUUGGUGUUGAAGGUAUUGACCCCUUCAGUGCCGUAGCUAAACGCGUUAAGUAUCCCGCCUGGGGAGUACGGUCGCAAGAUUAAAACUCAAAGAAAUUGACGGGGGCCCGCACAAGCGGUGGAGAAUGUGGUUUAAUUCGAUGCAACGCGAAAAACCUUACCUGGGUUUGGCAUCCUCUGAAAGCCGUAGAGAUACGGAAGGCCCGAAAGGGACAGAGAGACAGGUGCUGCAUGGCUGUCGUCGGCUCGUGUCGUGAGAUGUUGGGUUAAGUCCCGCAACGAGCGCAACCCUUAUCUUUAGUUGCCAGCAUUAAGUUGGGCACUCUAAAGAGACUGCCAGCGUUAAGUUGGAGGAAGGUGGGGAUGACGUCAAGUCCUCAUGGCCUUUAUAUCCAGGGCAACACACGUUCUACAAUGGUCGGUACAAGCGCUGCGAAACUGCGAAGUGGAGCAAACCGCAAAAAACCGAUCUAAGUUCAGAUUGGAGUCUGCAACUCGACUCCAUGAA
rnacentral:rRNA from 1 species